AAACUAGGCUCGAAUACUAUCAAUAGCACAAAGCUAUUGGUGCCAUCAGGUUUUUGGCCUUUGGAUGAAAAAAUGUGCGGUUAGGAUGAUGUAGGCCCCCUAGUGUUGAGUGAGUUAUUGGUUGAAUAGUAUAAUCUAACGGGUGAAAAUAGUCAAAGGGUUAAAUCUAACGGUGGAAAAUUCGGUAGCACCAAACGCUUGGUGCUAUCGAUAGUAUUCUAGCCGAACUCUCUCUCUAUAUAUAGAUAAUUGAGCUCCGAUACUUUUAAAAGCACCAAGUUGUUGGUGCUUAUAGGUUUCGACUAUCCUUGGAUUAAGGGAUGUGCGAUUAUGAUGAUAGUGGUCCCAAGGGUUGAGUAGGUGGUUAGUCAAAUAGUAUGAUCUAACGAGUAAAAGUGGUCGGGGGUAGAUAUGAUGGCGAAAAACCUAUUUGAGCACCGACAACACCAUCGUCCAAUGGGGAGGCACUGAUGGAGGAUGAGCCGUUGAUGGAGGCAGAGCAGGAGCAGAUCAGGGAGUGGUUGGCGAGCUUUCGCCAAUUUGAUCCACCUCGAUUUGGCGAUAGUCACACCGAGCUCUAGGUAGUAGAGGCUUGGGUUGGAGCUAUGGAGAAGAUAUUUUAGGAUAUCUUUAUUCCAGAGCGGAAUUAGGUUCACUUAGCAGUACAUUGUUUGGAGGGUGAUGCUCAUACUUGGCGGCGGAGGAUUAGACCGACUCUACCUUAGGGUGCACGACGGAUGACAUGGAUCGACUUUUGAGGAUUACUGUAUGGGGCCUAUUUUUCAAACAAUGUGGAGAAGAAACUCGAAAAGAAUAUGAAGAACCUGUAGAAAGGCAAUCAGAUGGUGCAUGAGUACACUAGAAAGUUCAUUUGGUUGCUGAAGUAUGUACUAUUCGUCAUGACGGAUAAGACGCGCAAGAUUUGCUUAUUUGAGCAAGGUUUGAGGCCCAAAAUCUUUGUAUUAUUACAGGCUCAGCACCUUCGGGCUCUCGAUGUAGUGAUUCGGCAGGCUUUUUGGGUAGAGCAGGGUGCUACAGUCAUGAGGGAAAGGACUACAGUCAGGGCAGAGUCUUGAGAGGAAGCGCCCGACAGGCAAGCCUUAGGCCCUUCUGAUUCUAAAGUGAAAGUAGGACCAGAUCACGAUGGAUUUCAUUGUUGAAUUACCUCAAGCUCAAGAUAGAUUUGACACAGUGUAGAUGAUAGUAGACAGACUGAUCAAGUCUGCUUAUUUUCUACUGGUGUAGACGACAUGGUCCUGGGAUCGACUCGCAUAGUUGUAUUUGGAUGAGGUAGUGAGGUUACAUGGAGUAUGUACCGCGAUAGUACCAGAUCAAGACUUGAGAUUUGUCUCGCAUUUCUGCAGGAGCUUACAGACAGCCUUGGAUACUCAGUUGCACUUCAGUACAGCUUUCACCCACAUACUGAUGGACAGUCAGAAUAGAUUAUUCAGAUUCUAGAGGAUAUGUUGAGAGCUUAUAUCCUAAACUUUGGAGGAGGGAGGCAUAAACAUUUGAGAUUGGUUGAGUUUGCGUACAACAAUAGCUAUCAAGCGAGCAUUCAGAUGGCUCCGUUUGAAGCAUUAUAUGGACGCAAGUGUCGAUCACCCCUACAUUAGAGUGAAGUAGAUGAAAGUAAGACUUUGGGGUCAAACAUUCUUUUACAGAUAGAAAAAGAUCAUGGUUGCACAAUUAAAACAAUCCAAAGUCAGUAGGGGAGAUAUGCUGAUAAUAGGGACGAGACUUGAAGUUUCAGAUUGAAGACCAUGCGUUUUUGAAAGUCUCGUUGUCUAGGGGGAUUCGAAGAUUCACAGUUUGUGAAAAGCUAAGUCUGCAUUAUAUUGGUCCUAUAGAGGUUUUGGAGUGGGUUUGUGAGGUGCCGAACUUUUAAAAUUAUGAAGUUCCGGUGUAUGUUGGUUUGGAAAGUCAUUAGAGUGGUUCCGGUGAAAGUCGGAAGCAUUCGAGCGUUUUAGGUGCGCGUAGGCGCGAAAAUGGUACCCGGAAGGCUAUGUUGGACCAUGAACUAAAUCUGACAUUAGUGUUGAUGAAAAGAUGAUGAAAAUAUGCUCGAAAAUAUGUUUUGAGAAUCUCGGUGCGAUUUGAAAUGAAUCGGAGGCCAAACGAGCGAAAAUGAGUGGAAACAGAGAAGAAACGGACGGAGGCUGAAAUUUGGCUAAGUCCUUAAUUCGCUGGGCUGGGAGGACCUACGGGGUUUGGACCUUGCCUCCAAGGUCCAGACCCCGAGAGCGAAAAUAGCCCAGUUCGGGGCUGUGCAUAGAGCUGAUAUGUGAGGGGUUUUUAUGCAAUUUUGCAUUAGUUGGGGGCAAUAUGAAGGGGUGAGGGCCUUCUCAUCUCAUUCCUCUCAACCCUAACACCCAAAACACCUCUCUCUCUCACUCUAGAACCUCUCUCUCUCUCUCUCUUCAAGAAGGAAGGCAAGGAGGGGGAUUGAUGGAGGGUGAAGCUUGAAGAAGGAUCAUCAUCUUCUUCUCCUUCUUCUUCACCUUGGAGCAAGCUUAGAGAGGUUUUGCAAUAUGUAAGGGUUUGAUCUCAAUUAACCCUCUGUAAACCUAACUGUUAGGUUUCCUGACACGUUGGCGAAGUCGGUUCGGCGAUCCGACGAACCUACGAGAAGAUAUUGCUGAAAAAGGACCUUCCGACAUUCGUUUCUGCUUGGAGGGUCGAGGCGGUGUCCGUAAAUCACGGGAUCGGAUUCUGAGUAUCGUAACGAGAAAUCGAAGACCUUUAUUUUUCGGAUCGCGGAUCGGAGGUUGUUCGGUGGUCGCGUGUGAAUUGGGUCAAGCCGAGCGGCGUGCGCCGCGGGAGGCUGAUUGCGAGUGACGACGAGCAAUCGGAACGCUAUAAAAAGGUGGGUGGUGACUAUCCCGAAGCAGUUGAACUGCUCCCUAUGUCUAAGUAUUAUUGUUGAUCGAAUUGCAUAUUGUGCAUAUUGAACUCUUGCAUUAUAGGGUGCUUAAUUGGUUGUUUCAUAUUCUUGCAUGCUAGUGUAGUGUAGUGUAGUGUUGCUUGUUUGGCACCUGAACCUAGUAUGCAUGAGAUUGGGAAGUAGUGCUUUAGAACCCUAUAAUGAGAGGAUAAAUGUUAAUUUGAUCCUAGGUAGAUGAAAACCUAGUGAAUGUGUAAUUAGUGUAUUGGGAACACUUAAACAAGAACGAGUGUCAUCUAGUUAAUGUUGAACACGAGAACGAGUGGCAUCUAGACAAGGUUAAUAACUUGACGAGUGGCGUGACAAGUAGGGUAUAGAUGGAAAUACCUAUUGCAAGUCGAACUUAGGAAUGAACUAGUUCCCAAGUGAUGUUGGCUAUAGUGGCAGGAUAUCCUCAGUGACGGGGAUUUGAUCAUAUUCACAUGUCUGUUCAGAGCUUGUAGGCAGUCGCUCCGCACAAGCGUGCGCUCCGAAGUUGUCACAUGAUAGGGAUAGCCUUUUUGGGUCCCGAAGGGUGAGCCUUUGGGCCCCGCAGACGGUCUUGGGUGAGUAAGUAGAUUCUCACCUUGAGUGAGCGGUUCCUCACCUAUGAUUAUGUUGUGAGUCGAGUGAGUGAGUAGAUUCUCACCUUGAGUGAGCGGUUCCUCACCUAUGAUUAUGUUGUGAGUCGGGUGAGUGAGUAGAUUCUCACCUUGAGUGAGCGGUUCCUCACCUAUGAUUGGGUUGUGAGUCGGGUGAGUGAGUAGAUUCUCACCUUGAGUGAGCGGUUCCUCACCUACAAUUAUGUUGUGAGUCGGGCGAGUGAGCGGAUCCUCCCCGUAGAGAGUAGAUUGUGAGUCGCGUGAGUGAGCGGAUCCUCACCAGUGUGACCGAGUGGAUGUGGCACCUAUAACGGGGCCGUGGGAUUGAGACGUGAGAUUGAGGGCGAGCCCACGAGCUAGUCGAGUGAUUGGGUGAUCUAAUGAAUAGCAUCGUUGUUGGACAUAGUAGCAUGGUAGCUAGCCUUAUACUAUGUAGUGCAUGCAUUCAUAGCAUUUGAUUGAGGCAUAGUAGGAUACUUGCAUUUCUACUUACUUGCUAUUCUUGCUGUUUCAUACAUAGCUAUCUAUCUAUCUGUCUGUCUAUCUGUCUAUGCCUGCUUAGACCUAGUGGGGAGAUCGGCGGAGUCGGUGGCCGAACCCACUGGGAACUAUUCGUAGUUCUCACCCCACUUUGUUGCAGGGCCGAGCUCGAGUACCCCCGGUGAGGAUCGUGGUAAGGCUUAGCGCCCUAGUGUUGGUAGCCUGCCUUCCUUUUUGCAUUAGAGUCACCUGAUAUAUAUUGAGAGUAGAUGAUGUAUAGAGGUGAGGUAUUAGAUGAUUGUAAACUUAUGUUUAUAUUUUGGAAGAAUGCAAAGGUAAUCAAAUGUAUAAAGGUUGAAUAUUUGUAAUAGAUUAGUAUCUCUCUUUCGUUCACUCGUUUGUUACUUGUGAUGCUUGCUCUUGAUUGUUUAGCACUGGUUGUGCUCUCGCUGUUGUUGUAUGAUCGUGUAUGUAUUCAAGUGAUUUCCUGGGAACUUGUUGUACAUGAUCUCGUUGUUUAGCCUUGGGCGGACAGGGGAGGUCUUGUCCGUCAGGCGUCUGUUCGACGCGCCCGAACCGGACCAAAAUGGUAGCGGGUCUCGGGGUGUGACAGGGUUGGACUGGUGGCCUACAAGAUUGCUCUACUAUCGCAAUUAGCUGGUAUUUACGAUGUCUUUCUUGUCUCGGCAUUGAGGAAAUAUAUUUUUGAUCCUUCGCAAGUGAUUGACUUCACCCCACUAGAGCUGAGUGAGUGUCACGCCCCCGCCCCGAAACCCCUACCAAUUUAGCACGGUUUGGGCGCGGCGAACGAACGUCGAACGGGCAGCAACUCCCCUGCCCGCCCAAGGCUCACAACCUGAUCAUGUACAAGAAUUUAUCCAGGAAAAAUUAAAUUCAUACAUACACGAUCAACGGGGCACAAAUAGUGCCAACAACGAAGAGCAAGUAAUCCACAAGAUACACAAGUGAAAUAAAGAGAGAACUACUAACUAUUACAUCACAUUUGCAUUCUUUAUACAAUUACAUUUUCUUUUCCAAAAUGAAUACAUGCUCAUCAAGUACAUAGCUCUCCAAAGUCCUCACCUACAUGAAUCUCUCUCAAAUACAUAGGUGUGCUAAUGCAAAAGGAAAGCUACUACUCUACCAAUAAUCCUCACUGGUCGGGUGCGAUGCCCUUGUCGCGGUCCUCGCCCGGCAAACCUGUACCUAGCCUUGGAAAUAAAGUGGGGUGAGAACUAUCUUCCAUAGUUCCCAGUGGGCCCGGCCGCAGACUCCACCGAUCUCCCUACUAGGUCCAAGUGGGCAAAAGUAACAACGAAACAGAUAGAUAUAUAUAUAUCAAAGCUGUAAAGACAUAAUAGGAAAAUUAUGCUACUAUGCCCAUAAUCAUGUGAAAUGAAUGCAUGCAUCAUUUAAUAAAAGUUUACUAUCAUGCUAACAAGUUCGAUCCAUGUUCGAUAAGCAAUGUUCGAUAACAAUAGUAACUUUUCAUUUACCCAAUCUGUGGCGAAACCCUUGGGUUUGCCUACGCCUCACAUAUCCAUCCCAUAGGGUAAGGAGACUCUAUGUUCCCCCGAACCUGGGACUGUCUGCGGACAUCAAUUCUGUCUAAUCGCCCGACACUCCGGAGUAUUUGACGACAAUUUCUCUCCAUGUGAGGAUAUGGAUGGCUUUACCAUCCUGAAUAACAGACCGUGAGCUUGAUCUAUCCUCUCCACGUGAGGAUACCCUACGAACUAGGGCCAACAUUCUGUCGGAACUCAUCUAUGUCACUCUCUAGGUUAAUGCCACUCUCUAUGUCACUGAAAAACCAUCGAGUUCAUCUCUUUCUUUUGGCACUAUAGGAUCCAUGUUCCGACCCAAUCCUUACCUAUCCAUUUCACCAAGUAUUCCAUGCACACUAGGUUAACAUUUAGAAGCAUAAGGAAAAGGUACUAUAAUGCAAUCCUACAAUGCAACAUGUAAAAGAUGAAAAUCAUGUAUUUCUAAGACAAAAAAGAGCUCGGUUGCUUCGGGAUGACACCCCCCACCUUUCGAUGGUACGAAGGUUCUAGAAACGCUUUCCAACGAAUGUUACGACGAGGUCUCGGCCUCCUUGGUCCAAAACGGUGCUCAAUCGGCUAUAUUUCGUCGAUAGCUUUUCACCCGCUCGACGAAUCAAAAAUCCGACUUCGCCCCCGCGUUUAGACACCUAUCAAUUAGGUUUACAAGCUAUCAAAUGAGAUCAAUAUCAUCAUUUAUCAAAGACUCCAAUUUGGAGCCCUAGGUUUGCACCAAUAGCAAACCACUAAUAAAUCCCUAGAUUCUAGCUUAAAGCAUCAACUAAUCAUGCGAGGGUUCCAUUUGACCAAUUUCUAAAGCUAGAAAUCCAAAACCCUAGGUUCUACCAUUGUUAGGGUUCAAGAACUUACCUCUUAAGCUACACCAAAGGGGAGAGGAGAGGGAGGUGAAGGUGUCCUCGGGGGAUCGCGA
rnacentral:lncRNA from 1 species